rnacentral:misc_RNA from 1 species
UCCCCCCACCUCGCGUGUUCGUUGGGCGCGGCCGGGAGGCCCGCCGGGGGAACAGCCGCGGUGGCUGCUGCCACAGCUAUAGCGUGCUUGUUCGCAUCCAAAUUAUCAUCAUACGCACCCGAUAAAGCUUCACACUUAUUGAACUGAGACGGAAUCGUAUUGGAAGAUCUAGAAAAGCUCCACCUUCUCUUCGCCUUGGCCGGUGGUGAGGGACCAGCUUUUUUUAUGCCAAAAAGUCGCCGGAAAAAUCCCAUGUUUCAUAGUUUAAAAAAUUUGAUUAGUGGAAGACAUUACCGGGAGAGAGUGGCUGAAAGAGCGAGAAUAGAGAACUCGGGG